ensembl:lncRNA
CCAGUGUUAUCACAAUAUUUUCUCAGUAAAAUCUAUUUUAUUUUUUUUGUAGGAGUUCUAUCCUGAUGACGUUUAUAGGACACCAUGUGGUUUUGACUAGACAGUGAAGCCAGGGCAAACCCGAGUGUUCUCUCUUCUCCACAGCCAGGUGAUGACACCUUCCCCAAGAGGCUGUGCAGAUUUGAGCAGAAAACGUACCUGGAAGCAUCAAAAGAUUCCGAGCAGAAUUUCAUCUGACUCUGUGGCUGUCUCCUCUCAGGGCCUCAUUAGUGAAGAUGUGGCCUCUGCAAAGUGGCUGCCAGGCGUCCUGCUGAUUUCAUUCCCUGCUGGUGUAGUUGGAUCUUGAUGAGGACUAGAGGGAAAACAAAGGAAAACAAUCUGUGACCCAAAGCCCUUGUGUCGUUUGGGAGAAAAAUGUUCCCAGUGGGACCUUCAGGACUGAGCUCCAAGGUUUGUACACAUAUGUUUAAAUACCACUGGAUUCAUGUUUCAAAUAAUACCAUUAUUUUUGAAAUACAAAUGUGAAACAUAAACUUCUGCAUGUGUUUAUGUAAUGUGUCAUGGUUGAUGCAGAAGGAAUAAUAGGAAUAGUCUCAUUUUACCUAUAUUGUAAGGGAAUGAUGUGCUGAACUGGGAUUUAUAAAGGGAAAUUUAAGAAGGAAAAUUUCCAGUGUAGUUGACCAUUUCUUUUUCAGGAUGAUGGCCUUCUUAUCAUCCCAAACAAGUAUUCCCCAUCUUUUGACACUUACUAGUAGAAUAUUUGUCAUAGCAAUGAAAAAUGUUGUUUGUUGUUAAAAGGAAAUUUAUUACAUAUUGUAUAAGUUCUGGUUGUAGCUUAGAGGAUAUCAGGCAAUUUCUGGUAAGAGAGUUAACAAUGUAUUUCCACGGUCACUUAAUGUGUGCUUAGUUGUUCAGUUAUGUCCGACUCUUUGUGACCCCCAUGGACUGUAGCCUUCCAGGAUACUCUGUCCAUGGGGAUUCUCCAAGCAAGAACACUGGAGUGGGUUGCCAUGCCCUCCUCCAGGGGAUUCCCAAUCCAGGGUUCAAAUCCAGGUAUCCUGCACUGCAGGCUGAUUCUUUACCAUCUGAGUCACCAGGGAAGCCCCACUUAAUAAUAGUUUGAUCUUAAAUUGAAUAUAAAAUAUUCAUACUAAAUUCUUUUGACUUAUUCACUUUUUUAGUUAUA